rnacentral:misc_RNA from 1 species
AACCAUAGAAACCUGCGGAGUACCUGCGGAAGGAUCAUUACAAGAUUCUAACGGUUCUAGCCUAUAAAAAAGGCUAUGAGCUAUUCAACCCUUUGUGAACCAAAAAACCUUUCGCUUCGGUAGCAGGUUUGACAUUGGUGAGAACCAAUUUCUAUGCCGUUAGCCUACCGGCAGCACUAUAUUUAUAAAACUUGACCUAUUGAAAUAUGUCUGAAUAUUAAAUUUUUGAAUAAAAUUAAA